UAGGGAAUCUUCCGCAAUGGGCGAAAGCCUGACGGAGCAACGCCGCGUGAGUGAUGAAGGUCUUCGGAUCGUAAAACUCUGUUAUUAGGGAAGAACAAAUGUGUAAGUAACUAUGCACGUCUUGACGGUACCUAAUCAGAAAGCCACGGCUAACUACGUGCCAGCAGCCGCGGUAAUACGUAGGUGGCAAGCGUUAUCCGGAAUUAUUGGGCGUAAAGCGCGCGUAGGCGGUUUUUUAAGUCUGAUGUGAAAGCCCACGGCUCAACCGUGGAGGGUCAUUGGAAACUGGAAAACUUGAGUGCAGAAGAGGAAAGUGGAAUUCCAUGUGUAGCGGUGAAAUGCGGAGAGAUAUGGAGGAACACCAGUGGCGAAGGCGACUUUCUGGUCUGUAACUGACGCUGAUGUGCGAAAGCGUGGGGAUCAAACAGG
rnacentral:rRNA from 1 species